UUAACUGUGUUAGAUUUUCCUGAAUAAAUGUGCGUCACCAACCAAAUAAAACAGGGUUUAAGGUUUGUUCAAAAAAGCCUACAACUGAAUUCUCAGUGGAUGAUAUCUAUGUAAAACCUUCUCAUGUCCUUCUCUAGAGAGGAAGAUGGAAGCAGCAGCCUUCCUCCUUCCUCCUGUUGCUGUUCUUGAUGAGUUCAGAAAACCUUUAGUUGCUGCUGCUGUAUGUUAGGAAACAUCUCCAUUCAGGACCGAAUGCAACAGUUAGUCCUACUCAAAGUGAAUAUUGUUUAUCAUUUAUAUCAACCCAACUCUGGAUACUCAUAAAAAAUAUGACCAUAAAAAAAAGUUUCUAAUAUUUAAGGGGCUCAGAUUAUUCAUAUAUUUUCUCUUCUGUCAUUAUUGUGUCAGGUACGCAGUUCUGUGCAGUAGAGGUGUGCGGCUGUUCUUACCUUUGUCCGUCAGGAGACAGACGGAGGGUAUCAGAGCAUAAGCUCACUGAGCGAUCCCUUGAACCCUCCUGGCAGUCCAGUCGGACCCCGCUGGCGUCCUCCCGCCACCCGGCUUGUCCACCCUCAGCCGAGGAGCACCCACCAGGUCUCGAACCACACCUCUGGUCGCCAUCUGCAAUCACUGCCUGUCUCUCUCCCUCCAGCUCAUCAUCCACCCCUUCUUCUUGCGUGACCAGAGCCUACCCAGCCGGCCAGAACCACAGUCCACUUCCACAACCCCCUCUUUCCCUACCUCUCAAUAACCAUUCAUAGUUCAUUACUGUCUUCGGGUUUGUUGCUUUCGGGUCAAGUAAAAGUAUGAACAGGACAGAAUCUGACAGUAAAAAACAAUUCUGAAAGCAGAAAAAAAAAAAAA